UACGGGGGGGGCAAGCGUUGUUCGGAAUUACUGGGCGUAAAGCGCGCGUAGGCGGCUUUGCAAGUCGGGUGUGAAAUCCCCAGGCUUAACCUGGGAACUGCAUUUGAGACUGCAUUGCUAGAGUAUGGGAGAGGGAAGUGGAAUUUCCGGUGUAGCGGUGAAAUGCGUAGAUAUCGGAAGGAACAUCAGUGGCGAAAGCGACUUCCUGGACCAAUACUGACGCUCAUGUGCGAAAGCGUGGGGAGCAAACAGG
rnacentral:rRNA from 1 species